rnacentral:rRNA from 1 species
UGGGGAAUAUUGGACAAUGGGCGCAAGCCUGAUCCAGCCAUGCCGCGUGAGUGAAGAAGGCCUUCGGGUUUGUAAAGCUCUUUUGUCCGGAAAGAAAUCCUGUCGGUUAAUACCCGGCGGGGAUGACGGUACCGGAAGAAUAAGCACCGGCUAACUUCGUGCCAGCAGCCGCGGUAAUACGAAGGGUGCAAGCGUUACUCGGAAUUACUGGGCGUAAAGCGUGCGUAGGUGGUUCGUUAAGUCUGAUGUGAAAGCCCUGGGCUCAACCUGGGAACUGCAUUGGAUACUGGCGAUCUGGAGUGCGGUAGAGGGGUGCGGAAUUCCCGGUGUAGCAGUGAAAUGCGUAGAUAUCGGGAGGAACAUCCGUGGCGAAGGCGGCACCCUGGACCAGCACUGACACAAUGAGGCACGAAAGCGUGGGGAGCAAAACAGGAUUAGAUACCCUGGUAGUCCACGCCCUAAACGAUGCGAACUGGAUGUUGGGUGCAGCUUGGGCACUCAGUAUCGAAGCUAACGCGUUAAGUUCGCCGCCUGGGAAGUACGGUCGCAAGACUGAAACUUAAAGGAAUUGACGGGGUCAUAGCUGUUUCC